UGACAUGGCCCCACCAUCCUGCAUCUUUGUCCUGCCUGCUUCAAACUGCAGCAGUGCCACAGGCUGAAGGAACAGCCCUUCACAAGGGAAAAGCAUUGGAAUAGGAUGGGAAAAUGAACUAGCCAUGGGACCUUAGAAACUCUAGACAGACAAGAUGCAUAGACUGCCAGACUCGACUCCAGCCCCAACGCACCGUGAUGUUCAAAGAAAAAACGUAGAUCAUCCGCCCGGGAAAAGCAACAUCCUCAGUUCUGGAGGCUGGGAAAUCCAAGAUCAAGACAUCAGCAGAUGCGGUGUCUGGUGAGCACCCACUUCCUGGGUCACAGAUGGCUGUCCUGUUGUGUCCUCACCUGGUAAAAGGGACAAGGGAGCGCUGGGGCCUCCUUUAUAAGAACACGAAUUCCAUC